GACGAACGCUGGCGGCGUGCUUAACACAUGCAAGUCGAACGGAAAGGCCCUGCUUGCAGGGUACUCGAGUGGCGAACGGGUGAGUAACACGUGGGUGAUCUGCCCUGCACUUCGGGAUAAGCCUGGGAAACUGGGUCUAAUACCGGAUAGGAGCCAUUUUUAGUGUGAUGGUCGGAAAGUUUUUUCGGUGUAGGAUGAGCUCGCGGCCUAUCAGCUUGUUGGUGGGGUAAUGGCCUACCAAGGCGGCGACGGGUCGCCGGCCUGAGAGGGUGGACGGCCACAUGAGGACUGAGAGACGGACCAGACUCCUACGGGAGGCAGCGGGGGGGAAUAUUGCACAAUGGGCGCAAGCCUGAUGCGGCGACGCCGCGUGGGGGAUGACGGCCUUCGGGUUGUAAACUCCUUUCGCUAGGGACGAAGCUUUUUGUGACGGUACCUAGAUAAGAAGCACCGGCUAACUACGU
rnacentral:rRNA from 1 species